UGUUUUUCCUCCGUGUUCUGUGAUGGCGGUCGUAUGUGCGGGGUGCUACGAGCGUCGCGUUUGCUUGAUCGUGUGUUUUUGUGUUUGCUGUUAUGAAGUAGGUCGCAGUUAGCGUGCACAGAAGUGCCUGAAGAUACCUUGUGUCACGCUGCAAACUCGCCGUAUGCGUGGCGCGCCAGGCAAAUGUGGCCCAACGAUUUUAUGCCGUGGAGUGCGGUCUCUUUGUUCUCGUUCUGGAAAGUUGGGUGGACGUCGCAAAGAAUGUAUGUUAGCGCGCCUCAGCUCGUCCACUACGCAGCGGCAUGUAUGCGAGGAGUAACAUCGUCGACGCAGCACCGGCAACUUGGAGAGUGCUUCGCGACCGCGUCGUACCAUUCAAAAGUGGCGAGGCUGUGACCCAUAACAGUGCCUACAUAACGGAGGAGCCACCAGACCCCUUGGCUAUGCCUGCCGUAGUGCAACGUAUAAUCUGGAUGGUCGGGUCAGGUACACCUAGGAAAUGUUGUAUACAUUGGCAACGAUAACUGGGGCCUGCUCCAGUGCCAUCGCCGGGAUUCCCUGUUCUGCAAAAAACUGACAUAACUGAUGUGGGGAGCCCUGGCGCUUGGUGUAGGAGUAUCACAGGGGCUCCUUGUCGGUGCUUGAAGGACGGCAAUGCUGUUGAGAAGCCGACAUUGAGCCCCGAUAAAUUGGAAGCUGUGGGUAGUUACCGCAUUAUUGACUUGGAAACCAGUGAGGUCUGGAUGCAAGUGAAGCUACCGAGGGAGGCAUGUGUGCAUCACUUGUGCUGCUGGCCAUCCUCUGCAAAAGUGAUGGCUGGCAGUCAGUGCUUGGAUGACUUUCUGUUACUCUACGCCUUGGGCUGUGUUGACUACUUCACGCUUGCUGCCAUGUCUGCAAGCUUAGGCAAAAAGACCGGCUGGAUGCUUGGCAGGAGAUAGUAUCCAACCGCAGUGUUACUGUGUUGUGUUGUACAUUACAAAGUGAUGGAGGACAGUAUUUGUGCUGUUAUUAAGAAGUAUAAAUUGUGUUCUGCCAUUGAAAUAAGGGAACUCGACACAAAGCAAAAAAUUUCGAAGUCUGACCUACAUGGGAAAGCAAAAUAUAUUGUGUUGUAGUUGUAGCUGUUAGUAGAGUCUUAAUAUGCGAUAGAAGACCUUGAUGUUUAAUAGAAAAUAUAUUUAAGUGUGUUAUCAGUGUGUUAUCAGUGUUUAAGUUACU